rnacentral:rRNA from 1 species
AUGAACGCUGGCGGCGUGCCUAAUACAUGCAAGUCGAGCGAACGGACGAGAGGCUUGCUUUUCUGAUGUUAGCGGCGGACGGGUGAGUAACACGUGGAUAACCUACCUAUAAGACUGGGAUAACUUCGGGAAACCGGAGCUAAUACCGGAUAAUAUUUUGAACCGCAUGUUUCAAAAGUGAAAGACGGUCUUGCUGUCACUUAUAGAUGGAUCCGCGCUGCAUUAGCUAGUUGGUAAGGUAACGGCUUACCAAGGCAACGAUGGAUAGCCGACCUGAGAGGGUGAUCGGCCACCCGGGAACUGAGACAGGUCCCAGACUCCUAGGGGAGGAAGCAGUAGGGAAUCUUCCGCGAUGGGCGAGAGCCUGAUGGAGCAAAGCCGGGUGAGUGCUGAAGGUCUUCGGAUCGUAAAACUCUGUUAUUAGGGAAGAACAUAUGUGUAAGUAACUGUGCACAUAUUGACGGUACCUAAUCAGAAAGCCACGGCUAACUACGUG